GGUCCAGUAGGCUAAUGGCAGACCCUCUCGUUUACACCGAGAUGACGGAGGUUCGAUUCCUCUCUGGACCA
rnacentral:tRNA from 1 species